GUCUUUUCAGUUCCCUACGUGUCUUUCUUCUAUGUUAUCAAUGUAUACAUUAUGUUGUUUGUAAUCUUCAUUCAUGCUCCACCUUCUGUGCACAAAUUCAGUUCUUUCUCUUCAACAUUCUCCAUGUAAGUUCUUUCAUAUUUCAAUUGAGUUUUUUUUUGUGCCAUUUUCCUUUUCGUUAAAGUUGAAGUUCCAAUUUAAUCUGGGUGUGUGUGAAUGUUUGUUUAUUUUUUCAUUUGGGUUUGUUAUUGAUGUUGAAUUAUCCUUGUAUUUGGAAGUACCAAUAAUUUCAAUAGUUGUGUUUUCAAUUUUGGUUGAGUGAUUAUGCUUUUCAUGUUCUACUUUGGAUUGUCAAAAAAUUAUUCAGAUUCAAAUUUUUGUUGUAUCUUAUCACAUGUAGUAAUUAAUUUGAUCUUUUUCCUGUCGAAAUUAAUUUUGUGGGUUUCUUUAUCGGAAUUCUUUUGAAUUUCCUCUGUUCAUGUAUGAGUUUCUCAUCAGAAUCAAUUUUCAGGGCUCUUGUGGAUUUAGCUUGGAAUUUAAGGAUUUCCAUUUACUUAUACUCGAAUUGAUCUACUGGUCUAUCAGUAGGUCUAAGAUAAGUCUUCUAACCUUUAGCAUUUAAAUUAUCGCUAAUGUUUGAGUAAAUAGUAAUGUUGUAUUUAUGCGAAUACUGAACAGAAAGAUGGCAUCAAACUAAAUUCUAUUGAAACCCAAGCUUCUGUACAUACACAUGAACAAUUCUCCCACGUAAAAGAUCUUGUAACCCCACACAAGCCUGGGAGGAAAGCUCAAAACAUCUUGAUGGCUAAAUGCUUAUGUUGGAUUAUAAUUUUUUUACUUCUACUUGCUAUUUACUUUGUGAUAAUUGGAAAAAAAAAUUGGUUCUUGGCAAUUUGGUGUUUGAUGGGAUUAAAGCUCAAAACUUUAUUGUUCUCACUUGUGGGGAAAAAAAAUGAUAUGAAAAUCUUCCUUUACUUUGGGACUUGUGUGUGUAGUGUUCUAUUGCUAUCUCUUGCUGCUAUAUUGGUGAUUGGUAAUGCUUUUUAAAGUAGCUUAUUUGCAUUCUUUUCUCUUUUCUUUGUAAUUGUAGUUUUCUAAAUCGUUUUCUUCUCCUCUUAUCUAAAAACACUUUAUGUCAAUAUUUUGAGAUAACAGGGUAAUUUCCAAAAUAUUUGUCUAUGCAUUAAUAUCCUAAUAUCCAUUUAUUUUUCUUUUAUAUAGGAUUGGAUUGUUGAUACUUCCCAUCUAACUGAAGCAAUAGAAGGAGAUAUGAUGCAACACAAAAGAAACCCAAUUUGCCUAGAGCAUAGCACCAGCCUUACAUCUCGUACACCAAAACGACUAAAGGUCCAUGUGCCCAUUUUCUCCAAGGCAUACAAUUUUGUUGUUGAUAGCGUGGACUUUGUUGCCUACUUCUUGGAAAUCAACAGAGACUUUCUAUCUAGCGCUGAGUAACACUAUUGAAAUGCAACAUUAUGUAAAUACACUGCAGCAUUAUGUAAAUAUUGUAGAAUGACUCUAUGUAUGCACUUUUCUUACAUUCGACUCACACAAUUUAGAAACAUUGGGCCCGUGCUUGCACGGGCAACUGAUGCCUAGUGUGUGUGUAUAUAUAUAUAUUCAACUCAUGAAAAAGAAAUGGUUGUUCUUGUU